AACGAACGCUGGCGGCAGGCCUAACACAUGCAAGUCGAACGCCCUGGCAACAGGGAGUGGCAGACGGGUGAGUAACGCGUGGGAACGUGCCCUUCGGUUCGGAAUAACUCAGGGAAACUUGAGCUAAUACCGGAUACGUGCGAGAGCAGAAAGAUUUAUCGCCGAAGGAUCGGCCCGCGUCCGAUUAGCUAGUUGGUGAGGUAACGGCUCACCAAGGCGACGAUCGGUAGCUGGUCUGAGAGGGUGAUCAGCCACACUGGGACUGAGACACGGCCCAGACUCCUACGGGAGGCAACAGUGGGGAAUAUUGGACAAUGGGCGCAAGCCUGAUCCAGCCAUGCCGCGUGAGUGAUGAAGGCCCUAGGGUUGUAAAGCUCUUUCGCCAGGGACGAUAAUGACGGUACCUGGAUAAGAAGCCCCGGCUAACUUCGUGCCAGCAGCCGCCGCCG
rnacentral:rRNA from 1 species